GACGAACGCUGGCGGCGUGCUUAACACAUGAAAGUCGAACGGAAAGGCCCUGCUUGCUGGGUGCUCGAGUGGCGAACGGGUGAGUAACUCGUGGGUGAUCUGCUCCUUACUUUGGGCUAAGCCUGGGAAACUGGGUCGAAUACUGGAUAGGACCAUGCUGUAGGGGGUGUGGUGGUGAGAUUAGUUUCGGUAAGGGAUGAGCUUGCGGCCUAUCAGCUUUUUGGUGGGGUAAUGGCCUACCAAGGCGUCGACGGGGAGCCGGCCUGAGAGGGUGGACGGCCACGUGGGGACUGUGAUACGGCCCAGACUCCUACAGGAGGCAGCAAUGGGGAAUAUUGCACAAUGGGCGCAAGCCUGAUGCAGCGACGCCGCGUGGGGGAUGACGGCCUUCGGGUUGGAAACUCCAGUCAGCCAUGACGAAGCCCUUGUGGUGACGGUAGUGGUAGAAGAAGCACCGGCUAACUACGUG
rnacentral:rRNA from 1 species